CCUACGGUGGCUGCAGUGGGGAAUAUUGGACAAUGGGCGAAAGCCUGAUCCAGCCAUGCCGCGUGUGUGAAGAAGGCCUUCGGGUUGUAAAGCACUUUCAGUGGGGAAGAAAGCCUUGGGGCUAAUACCCUCGAGGAAGGACAUCACCCACAGAAGAAGCACCGGCUAACUCCGUGCCAGCAGCCGCGGUAAUACGGAGGGUGCGGGCGUUAAUCGGAAUUACUGGGCGUAAAGCGCGCGUAGGCGGUCUGAUAAGCCGGUUGUGAAAGCCCCGGGCUCAACCUGGGAACGGCAUCCGGAACUGUCAGGCUAGAGUGCAGGAGAGGAAGGUAGAAUUCCCGGUGUAGCGGUGAAAUGCGUAGAGAUCGGGAGGAAUACCAGUGGCGAAGGCGGCCUUCUGGACUGACACUGACGCUGAGGUGCGAAAGCGUGGGUAGCAAACAGGAUUAGAUACCCCAGUAGUC
rnacentral:rRNA from 1 species